rnacentral:rRNA from 1 species
UUACGGUCAAAUCACGCUGAAAACACCGGUUCUCGUUCGAUCACCGAAAUCACGUUAAGCAUCGUAGAGGCCAGGUCAGUACUUCGAUGGGGGACCGCUUGGGAACACCUGGUACUGUAAG